GUUCUAAUGCAGCCAGCACGACUUUGUCAUAGAUAAAAUAUCAUUAAUACACUAUUUACACAGAUGUAUGCGAUUACUAGUGCUGGGAGUCCUAAGCCUCCAUAAAUGCAGAAGGGAAC
rnacentral:ribozyme from 2 species